rnacentral:rRNA from 1 species
UACGGAGGGUGCAAGCGUUAUCCGGAUUCACUGGGUUUAAAGGGUGCGUAGGUGGGCAGGUAAGUCAGUGGUGAAAUCUCCGGGCUUAACUCGGAAACUGCCGUUGAUACUAUCUGUCUUGAAUAUCGUGGAGGCUAGCGGAAUAUGUCAUGUAGCGGUGAAAUGCUUAGAUAUGACAUAGAACACCCAUUGCGAAGGCAGCUAACUACACGAUCAUUGACACUGAGGCACGAAAGCGUGGGGAGCAAACAGG